rnacentral:rRNA from 1 species
CUUGCUGGGUGGAUUAGUGGCGAACGGGUGAGUAACACGUGAGUAACCUGCCCUUGACUCUGGGAUAAGCGCUGGAAACGGCGUCUAAUACCGGAUACGACCUGCCCCGGCAUCGGGUGCGGGUGGAAAGUUUUUCGGUCAAGGAUGGACUCGCGGCCUAUCAGCUUGUUGGUGAGGUAAUGGCUCACCAAGGCGACGACGGGUAGCCGGCCUGAGAGGGUGACCGGCCACACUGGGACUGAGACACGGCCCAGACUCCUACGGGAGGCAGCAGUGGGGAAUAUUGCACAAUGGGCGAAAGCCUGAUGCAGCAACGCCGCGUGGGGGAUGACGGCCUUCGGGUUGUAAACCUCUUUUAGUAGGGAAGAAGGACUUCGGUUUGACGGUACCUGCAGAAAAAGCACCGGCUAACUACGUGCCAGCAGCCGCGGUAAUACGUAGGGUGCAAGCGUUGUCCGGAAUUAUUGGGCGUAAAGAGCUCGUAGGCGGUUUGUCGCGUCUGCUGUGAAAACCCGAGGCUCAACCUCGGGCCUGCAGUGGGUACGGGCAGACUAGAGUGCGGUAGGGGAGAAUGGAAUUCCUGGUGUAGCGGUGGAAUGCGCAGAUAUCAGGAGGAACACCGAUGGCGAAGGCAGUUCUCUGGGCCGUUACUGACGCUGAGGAGCGAAAGCGUGGGGGAGCGAACAGGAUUAGAUACCCUGGUAGUCCACGCCGUAAACGUUGGGAACUAGAUGUGGGGACCUUUCCACGGUCUCCGUGUCGCAGCUAACGCAUUAAGUUCCCCGCCUGGGGAGUACGGCCGCAAGGCUAAAACUCAAAGGAAUUGACGGGGGCCCGCACAAGCGGCGGAGCAUGCGGAUUAAUUCGAUGCAACGCGAAGAACCUUACCAAGGCUUGACAUAUACCGGAAACUUCCAGAAAUGGUUGCCCCGCAAGGUCGGUAUACAGGUGGUGCAUGGUUGUCGUCAGCUCGUGUCGUGAGAUGUUGGGUUAAGUCCCGCAACGAGCGCAACCCUCGUUCUAUGUUGCCAGCACGUCAUGGUGGGAACUCAUAGGAGACUGCCGGGGUCAACUCGGAGGAAGGUGGGGAUGACGUCAAAUCAUCAUGCCCCUUAUGUCUUGGGCUUCACGCAUGCUACAAUGGCCGGUACAAAGGGCUGCGAUACCGUAAGGUGGAGCGAAUCCCAAAAAGCCGGUCUCAGUUCGGAUUGAGGUCUGCAACUCGACCUCAUGAAGUCGGAGUCGCUAGUAAUCGCAGAUCAGCAACGCUGCGGUGAAUACGUUCCCGGGCCUUGUACACACCGCCCGUCAAGUCAUGAAAGUCGGUAACACCCGAAGCCGGUG